rnacentral:rRNA from 1 species
AACGAACGCUGGCGGCAUGCCUAACACAUGCAAGUCGAACGAGACCUUCGGGUCUAGUGGCGCACGGGUGCGUAACGCGUGGGAACCUGCCCUUAGGUUCGGAAUAACUCCCCGAAAGGGGUGCUAAUACCGGAUAAUGUCUUCGGACCAAAGAUUUACCGCCUUUGGAUGGGCCUGCGUUGGAUUAGCUAGUGGGUAGGGUAAAAGCCUACCAAGGCGACGAUCCAUAGCUGGUCUGAGAGGAUGAUCAGCCACACUGGGACUGAGACACGGCCCAGACUCCUACGGGAGGCAGCAGUGGGGAAUAUUGGCAAAUGGGCGAAAGCCUGAUGCAGCAAUGCCGCGUGAGUGAUGAAGGCCUUAGGGUUGUAAAGCUCUUUUACCCGGGAUGAUAAUGACAGUACCGGGAGAAUAAGCUCCGGCUAACUCCGUG